UAUGAUAGAAAUAAGUAUGAAAAUAAUUAAUUUUUCGUUAACAAAAUCGUGUGUAAAAAUACAACGUAACGGACAGCCGAUAAAUAUAAAAAGGCAGUAAAAUAAUAGCCAACUCAUUUCCCUGAAGCUCUCGAAAGGUUAUAUUAAUGCUAAAACAACAGGAAAUUUCAACGUCAGCUAGUCGAGAAUAUUUUACUGUCAUUAUAUUAUUUGAAAAUUUACAGUUAUAAUCAUAAUAUUUACAUAAAAUUACUCUUCUUUUUAAUGUAAAUGAAACAAAAAUUAUAAUUCCUAUCAAUCUUAAAAAACUCCUGACUCCAAAACUACACCUGCAAUCAAAAGAAACGGAUACUUGGGGAAAAUUUGUGAAGUUGUGUGAAGAAACAAUAUAUCAUUUUAUCAUAAUAAUGUUAACAAUUGAUAGAUAAAGUUCUCCAAGUUGUUUAAAAUAGUAUUUCAAUCAUUAUGAAACAAAAUUAUUUAUCUACAUUAAAUAUUGAUGCAUUUACGCCUACUUAUUGGAAAUGUCGUAAGUGUAAUCCUAUCCGAAUGUGACGUAAAAUAUUACAACUAGGAAUAAUUCAUACUUUAUACUGUAAUUAUAAAGAUCUUAUCAGUAUGCGGAUCCUUAAAACAGGACUGUAAUUAUUCAUACAGGUUAACAUUUGUGUUUUCUUUUAUUGUAUCUAUUCAAAACGGAGAUAAAUCUCAUUUUUCAAAAUGUUUUAAAAUAUGUAUGUUAUAUACAGUAGUGUAAAAUGUAAAAAAACUCUUCAGGAAUCUGCAAAAAAAGAUAAGCAAUCGGCCUGAUACGGAUUAGUCAGCACUUCAAUAACUCAUCUAAAAAUACACAAACUACAUGCUAAUAAGUGUAAGCAGAUUGAAGAAAACUGGCUAUUUUGUAAAGUUAGAUAUUAAAUAUUUUGUUUUUUAAAAUAAAAUAGGAAAGAACGAGUUCUAGAAAGAGAGAAGUUGAGUAUAUUAAGUAGUUAAUUUCUUCAGAAAUAAGAACUGAUAAUGUUACGUGUAAUGAAAUCAUUUUUCUGUAUAUAAAGGUUAUAACUUAAACCAUUUAUAAUAUAUUUAAGUGCAAAAUUUUAAAUAAAUUACUUCCAAUUUUCAGAUCCAUUGCCCUUGGAUCCAUCUUAGACCCCUCUAAGAAGGGUCUAAGAUAGAUCCAAUGUGUCUACAGAAAGAGUAAAAUAUAAUAUUGUUUUAGAUAAUGACAGGAUCGUUUAAGACGUUGAGGGUCUUAUUCAAUAUCGAUUGCAGUCGAAAAUUAAAUAUAAACAAGGUUAAAAUUUGUCGUUUCUAUUAGUGGAUGCUCUUUGGGUGCGCGAGGAAGUGACAGCGCCCAUAUUCUUUGAAAGAGGAAAGGCGAAUCAAGAGGAAGUAGAAAAGGGAUAAGGAUGGAUAAAAUGAUUCAUUAUUCAAAUGAGAGGAAAAAAUUAUUUGAUACAAGAUUUUAUUUACAGAAUACACCACAAACAUACAUAUAACAGGGUCUAUGCUUUAAUGAAUUAAUAAUAAAAAUUAUACUAAUGGAAGUAAUACCACC